AGCGCGGGCUGGAGGUGUGGCUGGGGUCCGUGGGGAAGAGAGACGAUGGGGACCCAGGAGCAGAGGCGGCGUGCUCACUGAGGCCCGGGGUGGAGGCCGGGGUCCUUGAACGCCCACCGAUCCGUGAACUCCGGGUGGCCCGCCCCCCUGAGGAUUUGCGGCGCGGGACGUGUGGAGGUCCCGGAGGACCGCACGCAGCCCCCUGCUGGAGCGAGCUGCUGGUGUCCCCUGGCACACACAACCCAGGGAAAGGACCACAAUCAACCUUCCCAACUGCAGAGGGGUGUCCCCUGCGCCCUUGGGCACCCACAGGGCCGGUGCUGGACCCUGAGCAGCACCCCUACCCCCGCCCCUAACUUCAGCCGGGUGCCGCCUGUCCCCAGGAUAGACCAUGCAGAAAUACACCUGUAGACGGGGUGGGGACUCAGACCUGGGGAGCGAAACAUUGGAUCCAGGCCUCCCACCAGCUGAAGCCGAGAUGAAGACAUGCCUCUUUGCAGCCAAAUGCACAUUUUCGUACCACAGGAUGGUGCUUCUCAGGAAUACGAUUUACUUGGCCUCUUA